rnacentral:siRNA from 1 species
UAGGGGGCGAAUGGAUGCUUCC